AAAGACUCAGGGUUCCCUGAAUGGAGGAAUAAUUGUCCAAAGAAGUCAGCUUUUCAGACCUCAGCAGACAAGAGGAAGGUUCAUAAACUCAGUGUAGGCCAAAGUACAGAAGCAACUGCACUCUUUACGCCAGCAGAUCCUUUAAUUCAUUAAGGAUGGCAUGGAAGAGCAGUGGCCUAAUGAAAAUGUGCAGAUAUCUUCCCUUGGUGAUUUUAUUUCUGCCAUGUGAACUGACAUGUUCUAUUUUAACUGUGAAUGGUAAAACUGAGAACUAUAUUCUGGACACUCACCUUGGCGUCCAAGAAUCUCUGAAAUGUGCGGUUCAAAACCACACCAGAGAAGAAGAACUUCUCUGGUACCGAGAAGAGGGGAGAGUGGAUUUGAAAUCUGAAAACAAAAUCAACUCCAGCUCUGUCUGUGUCUCCUCCAUCAGUGAAAAUGACAAUGGCGUCACCUUUACCUGCAAGCUGCAGAGGGAUCAGUCUGUGUCCGUCUCAGUGGCGCUGAAUGUCAUUUUUCCUCCUCUCCUAAGUGGAGAUGACUUCCAAACAGUUGAAGAAGACAGUGAUGUGAAGUUGGUUUGCAAUGUGAAAUCCAACCCCCAGGCUCAAAUGAUGUGGCACAGGAACAGAAGCAUCCUGAAUUUAGAGAAAAACCAUCAUAUAGUCCAACAAACAAGUGAGUCUCUCCAACUGUCAAUCACCAAAGUCAAGAAAUCUGACAAUGGAACCUACAGCUGCAUUGCAAAUUCAUCUGUGAAAAUGGAGACCAUGGACUUUCACCUCAUUGUCAAAGAUAAAGUUGUGGCUGUGCCGGUAGAGCCCAUUGCUGCUGCAUGUGUCGUGGUCUUUCUGACAUUGUGCUUUGCACUGAUUGCUAGAAGAAAAAGAAUAAUGAAGUUAAUCCAGUGCCAAAAGGAGGCAACUAUGGCAGAGAGCCUCUGAGGAAAGGCCAGUGUGGCUGAGGCUGAGUUCACUACCCAGCAACAGGCACUCUCUUUAAAAUAUGGUAACAACAUGUUAUUUGGGGCAACAACAUCUCCCAUGAAGAGAUGCAGGUUCAAUAAAAGUGAUUAACGCAGCCAAAAAAAUAAGACCUGGACCAGAGCAGAGCUGGCUGUAUUUCCAGCCACCUCUUCAUUGGUGUGUAUUUUUUUAGCUCUGCAUUAAGGAUGAAGAGCCUCAAAGAGAAACAGCUCUGUGAGAAAACUGAGGUGCCAUGGAAUACAGCAAGAGUUUCGCAUCAGGACCUCCUUGAUUUAUGUAGUCCCAUCUGUAUUUAUUGCUAUUAUUAAAUUCACUCCUGUCAAAUUGUCA